rnacentral:tRNA from 1 species
GACUCGAUACUUUAAAAUAAAAGACCUGAUUUGCAUUUAGAUAAUAAGUUUAAAAACUUUCGGGUC